UGGGGAAUUUUGGACAAUGGACGCAAGUCUGAUCCAGCCAUGCCGCGUGCGGGAAGAAGGCCUUCGGGUUGUAAACCGCUUUUGUCAGGGAAGAAACGGCCUGGGAUAAUACCUUGGGCUAAUGACGGUACCUGAAGAAUAAGCACCGGCUAACUACGUGCCAGCAGCCGCGGUAAUACGUAGGGUGCAAGCGUUAAUCGGAAUUACUGGGCGUAAAGCGUGCGCAGGCGGUUAUGCAAGACAGAUGUGAAAUCCCCGGGCUCAACCUGGGAACUGCAUUUGUGACUGCAUAGCUAGAGUACGGUAGAGGGGGAUGGAAUUCCGCGUGUAGCAGUGAAAUGCGUAGAUAUGCGGAGGAACACCGAUGGCGAAGGCAAUCCCCUGGACCUGUACUGACGCUCAUGCACGAAAGCGUGGGGAGCAAACAGGAUUAGAUACCCUGGUAGUCCACGCCCUAAACGAUGUCAACUGGUUGUUGGGAGGGUUUCUUCUCAGUAACGUAGCUAACGCGGGGAGUUGACCGCCUGGGGAGUACGGCCGCAAGGUU
rnacentral:rRNA from 1 species